UCGUCAGCUCGUGUCGUGAGAUGUUCGGUUAAGUCCGCUAACGAGCGCAACCCUCGCUGUGUGUUAUAUGUGUCACACGGGACUGCCGGUCUUAAGCCGGAGGAAGGUGGGGAUGAUGUCAAGUCAGCAUGGCCUUUAUAUCCUGGGCUACACACACGCUACAAUGGCCAACACAAUAGGUUGCUAAGCCGCGAGGUGGCGCCAAUCCAUAAAGUUGGUCUCAGUUCAGAUUGUAGGCUGCAACCCGCCUGCAUGAAGAUGGAGUUGCUAGUAACCGCAGGUCAGCUAUACUGCGGUGAAUACGUUCCCGGGGCUU
rnacentral:rRNA from 1 species